AUGCCAGCGUGGGGGGCCAAGACGGGGGUUAACUUUGCAAAUUGCAAGAACAAGCUGGGCGCCUACAUUCCACCAGCCGCAGCCUUCCUCGACCUGUCCUUCAUGCAAACGGUUCCCCGACGACACAUCUCCAACGGGCUGGCGGAAAUGUUGAAGAUGGCCCUGAUGAAACACAGAGGCCUCUUUGAGCUUCUCGAGACGCACGGCCGCAUGCUGCUAGACACUAAAUUCCAGGCCGACAACAGCGUGUACGGAAACCACUGCUUACAGGCGGCAUCGCAGGCGACUCGUAUAGCCAUUGUAACCAUGCUGGAAGAGCUCGCCCCCAACCUGUGGGAGGAUGACCUGGACAGACUGGUUGACUUUGGCCAUCUCAUCAGCCCAGCAUUAGAAAUGAACGUUCUCCCAUCUCUGCUGCACGGGGAGGCAGUGAACGUCGAUAUGUCGUACAUGGUUUACGUGUCCAGAGAGCGCGGCCUGUUGACAGAAGACGAAAAGCAACGGAUCAUAAGCUGCAUGCUGGGCCUGGAGCUUCCGGUCUGGCAUGCAGCGUUUACCAUGGAGCUCAUACAGAAGUCUCUGCAGGAUAGGCUGAAGCAUUCGGGAGGCCUGGUCAGGAUGCCUCUGCCGGUUGGUCUUGGGAAAGCGGAAAUUUCUAAUGACACACCUUGUGAGAUCCUGCACAAAGCUUUUGUGAAAUGGUGUGAUGAGCUGAGCGGCCCCUCUGACAGCAACUGACUAACCUGAGAUUACCACAGUUUUUUACAUUUUGUAUGUACUGUAGGCGUGUAAAGUCCUAUUCUGGUUUUGUACUCUAGUUAAUCUUCGAAUUAUAAGAAUAUUAUGUAUUUUCACCUCAUGGCAUCAAGAUAACCUCAUUAGCAGUGCUACAGGCAGCUCUCUCUUGUCAGCAAAUUGUCACAAUAGCAAUAUGAAUCUUUAAGUGUUUCAAAGCAGCACAAUCAGAUUGAAGUAAACUAUAUAUUUCUGUCUUGUAACAAGCAGCUUACCAACUACUACACCUACAAGUCUCUGAAGUCUAUUUGAAACCAUCCUCAUUAAAGAUUUGUUCAGUUAUCAAAUCAUGUCCUUGUGUUUUAGUAAGUUGUCGCUGACAUUCUCCUACUUUCAUCUAUUUUCUUUCAAUGCUAUUUUGUUUCUGCUUUUAAACAACAAGGCAAAGGCCAUGCUGCUCACAAAUGAGUCUGACGUAACGUCAAGUUAUUAAACUUGAAUGCGCAUUUCAACAAAGGCCUAGUGUGAAGGCUGUAGGGCCUCCAGUGGGCUGCAGUGUGUGAAGGCUGUAGGGGCCUCCAGUGGGCUGCAGUGUGUGGAGGCUGUAGGGGCCUCCAGUGGACGGCAGUGUGUGGAGGCUGUAGGGGCCUCCAGUAGGCUGCAGUGUGUGGAGGCUGUAGGGGCCUCCAGUAGGCUGCAGUGUGUGGAGGCUGUAGGGGCCUCCAGUNNNNNNNNNNGGGCUGACAUGU
ensembl:lncRNA